UGGGGAAUCUUGCACAAUGGGGGCAACCCUGAUGCAGCGACGCCGCGUGAGCGAUGAAGGUUUUCGAAUCGUAAAGCUCUGUCCUAUGGGAAGAUAAUGACGGUACCCUGUGAGGAAGCCCCGGCUAACUACGUGCCAGCAGCCGCGGUAAUACGUAGGGGGCUAGCGUUAUCCGGAUUUACUGGGCGUAAAGGGUGCGUAGGUGGUCUUUCAAGUCGGUGGUUAAAGGCUACGGCUCAACCGUAGUUAGCCUCCGAAACUGGAAGACUUGAGUGCAGGAGAGGAAAGUGGAAUUCCCAGUGUAGCGGUGAAAUGCGUAGAUAUUGGGAGGAACACCAGUAGCGAAGGCGGCUUUCUGGACUGCAACUGACACUGAGGCACGAAAGCGUGGGUAGCAAACAGG
rnacentral:rRNA from 1 species